ACUGAUCCGCCCGCCUUGACCUCCCAAAGUGCUGGGAUUACAGGUGUGAGCCACCACGCCCAGCUUAGUCUAUUUUACAAGUAAGGAGCCUGAGGCUUGGAGAGACAGGUCUGCAGCUAGAUGUAGGAAUCUCUCUGCUACUCUGCUUGGUCUUUCUUGGUAAACAACUGGGCGUGUGAGCGAGCGGUGGCGUGCAUGCCAGAGACAGAUGGACGCACAAAUUAGGAAUGGAAAGGAACUUCACCAACCCGGAAAGAAGCCUGGAGAAAACUUACAGCUAAAGUCACAGUGAAUGAUGAGAGACUACAGGCUUUCUCCAGGGCUCAGGAACAAGGCAGGGAGGUCAUCUCUUGUCACUUCCACUCCACCUCAUCCCAGAGGCCCUAACCAGUCUCUAUGCCCUGACAGCUUGAUCAUCCAUGUAGAAGACGCUAAGGAGUCUACAAAACACCACCCGGGGCUUGGCUCCAGGGAGAAAGCAUUGAAUUGGCAAAGGGGGUGUCCAGGGUAGUCCUGGAAGGCUGAAAGGGGGAAGGGCUUCAGGAGCUGUCUUCACCCAGAAGGCCACCAAGGAUGCUGAAUUAUUUUAAGGCAGACCAAGCCUGGGUUCCCUACACAGGCAAGGAUUGUUCUGGUUGGGAAACCUGAGAGCAGCAAUUGAAGACAGAUUGUUGGCGGGACUGCCCGGCCGCCGACCUCAUGGCUAAUCCCACUCCCUGGUACAGGAUGUUUGGGCUGAGU